UCGCUAGAGGCACGGUCGAAUUGCAUCAUAACGUUGCAGACGACUUAUUGUGCUUUCUGCUCGAAUUCCUGUCAGGUAUUCCAUGUUGGUGCAUGGUGCUGUGAGAAUAUCAAAGAAGCAGCAGUUGAAGCUGAAGGUCAGAAAAAGUUGAAACCAUGCUGUGCUUGUCCUGAAACUAAGAGAGCUAGAGACCAGUGUAUCAUCGAAAACGGCGAGGAAAAUUGUACUACCU